rnacentral:rRNA from 1 species
GACGAACGCUGGCGGCGUGCUUAACACAUGCAAGUCGAGCGGAAAGGCCACUUCGGUGGUACUCGAGCGGCGAACGGGUGAGUAACACGUGAGUAAUCUGCCCUUGGCUUUGGGAUAGCCACCGGAAACGGUGAUUAAUACCGGAUAUGACCACUUCACGCAUGUGAUGGUGGUGGAAAGUUUUUCGGCCAGGGAUGUGCUCGCGGCCUAUCAGCUUGAUGGUGAGGUAAUGGCUCACCAUGGCUUCGACGGGUAGCCGGCCUGAGAGGGUGACCGAUCACACUGGGACUGAGACACGGCCCAGACUCCUAUGGGAGGCAGCAGUGGGGAAUAUUGGACAAUGGGCGGAAGCCUGAUCCAGCAACGCCGCGUGAGGGAUGACGGCCUUCGGGUUGUAAACCUCUUUCGCCUAUGACGAAGCGCAAGUGACGGUAAUAGGUAAAGAAGCACCGGCCAACUACGUGCCAGCCGCCGCAGUAAUAC